UCUAGCCCGCGCCGCCGCCAACUCGGUGUCCCCGGAGGCUCCCGCCGCCGCCCGCCCUGGACCUCCCGGAGCGGCGGCCCGGCAGGGGGCGCGCUGCCGCCGCGCACACCGCGCACACCGGGCGGAGCGGCGGGAUGGAGGCGCUGCCGGGCUGGCAGUUCGAGGAGUCCCUGUUCGCCCCGAGCCGGGAGCGGGGCCCGGGCGGCGGGGACGGGCCGCCCCGCGGCGCCAGACACUGCGAGCCCCGCUGGUUUCACAGCGAGGCGGGCGGCGGGGACGGCGCCGGCGGGGUGACGGGCGGCAAGUUCCGGGCGGACUGGGCCUACCGGCAGCGCGACUUUGAGAAAGCCCUGUGCGAAUACUCCAACUGCUUACUGCUCUUACCUCCCAGUAACAUUGCAAUGAGACGGGAUGUCCAGGAGGGCCAGGCUCGCUGUCUGUCUCGUCUGGGAAGGCACAAAGAGGCCCUGGAUAUCGCAGAAAAAAUGAGAAACGGCGCUACUAACACAGAUCACUUAACGACGGUUCUCAACCUGCAGUUUGCCAUUUACCAGGGUCUGGAAAACGUAGAAAAAAAGAUCACGUGUCUGCAGCAACUGAUCUGUUUACAUCCUUUCAACCCUUGGUACUGGAAAUUACUUGCUGAAGCUUAUGUGAGCCUUUUACAGAGUUUGUCUCCACUAGCUCCUCCAGAAACAAAUCUGAAUCAGUCUGAAGAGGUUAGUGUAAGUGAUAGUAGCUUUGAAACAUCAACUGGAAGAGAGAUUAAUUUGCAGCCUCACAGAUCAGAGAGCCAGCAAGAAGGCACUUGGUCCAGCCUUGCUACAGACACAAAGAGGGAGGAUGCAGUGACUUGUGCGGGCAGCCGAGCUGUGCAGGAAUCCCUCAGCACCUCGGAAGAAGCGGAAAGGACAGAUGGAGGGAAACGCGCAGCCUCCAAGCCCUGGGAGCAGAACGUGUUGCAGGAGGUUGGGGUAAAGGCGUGUGCCUCAUUCAUUAGAGCAAGGCUUCUACUUCAGCUCACCCAGUUGCAACAGUCGUCCUUUGUGCUACAGAGCAACAUAAAAGGUCAAAAAGAAAUUGAUGACCAAGUGGCCAGGCUUGGUUUCAGUGACAGCUCCUUGCUGUUGAUGACCAAGAGUUUCUGACUUCUAAGGCACAAAAGGAAGCCAGCGAGAUUCUGCCUUUGCCGUCAGUGUUACAGAUUUAAGUGAGCAGCAGCUGAGCCAUUGCCGGGCUGGCAGCUUGUGGGAUUCCCUCCGUCAGAGGGCAGUAGCACGCAGACUAUCUGGGGUUUUGAAAAGUUUGGGAGAAGAAACUUCUCUCCUUGCUUCCCUUGGUCCGACACCCCUCAGGAGGAGAUCAGAGUGUCGGUGCUGUCUCCAGGUUAUGGGGCAGGAUCUUAUACCAGAAAAACUAAAAGAGGAAUUUCAGAGUGAGGUGAAAUGCAUAGGCCCUGCAGCACUGUCAUCAUUGGUAACUGCGUCAGCCACAGAAUUUGAAAUCAAAUGGUUCGGUAAUCUCCAGGAUGAUUUAUGUCACUUUGACAGUCAAUUUUAUUCAAAUGUAGAUCUCCCACCGUCAGUAACUUAAAGGUUUUGUUGUA